GACGAACGCUGGCGGCGUGCUUAACACAUGCAAGUCGAACGAAGUGGCGAACGGGUGAGUAACGCGUAAACAACCUGCCUUUCAGAGGGGGACAACAGUUGGAAAUGACUGCUAAUACCGCAUACUGCAGUAGGGGAUUGCGUCUGAUUAGCUAGUUGGAGGGGUAACGGCCCACCAAGGCGAUGAUGAGGAGCGGGUCUGAGAGGAUGAACGGCCAAAUUGGCAGUGAGACCCGGCCCAGACUCCUACGGGAGGCAGCAGUGCGGAAUCUUCCGCAAUGGACGAAAGUCUGACGGAGCAACGCCGCGUGAGUGAUGACGGCCUUCGGGUUGUAAAGCUCUGUUAAUCGGGACGCGGUACCGGAAUAGAAAGCCACGGCUAACUACGUGCCAGCAGCCGCGGUAAUUC
rnacentral:rRNA from 1 species